CUGCUGGAGAAGCCCUGGGGACCAGCGAUGCGAGCCCCUCGGGACGUGAUGGAAGGCUCUGGGGUCGGCCUUCAAAAGGAAGAUGGUGGCAUGAUGGCU